CCACCUGUCAGUGGAUCACCAGCUUCCUGACCAACAGGAGACAGCGUGUGAGGCUGGGGGGCAUCACAUCUGACACCCGGACCACCAAUACUGGAGCCCCUUAGGGGUGCGUCCUCUCCCCACUGCUCUUCUCUCUCUACACCAAUGAUUUCUCCUCAGGUGACUCUCCUGUGAAGCUCCUGAAGUAUGCAGACGACACCACUCUCAUCGGACUGAUCCAGGACGGUGAUGAGACUGCGUACAGACAGGAGGUGGAGCGGCUGGUCCACUGGUGCAGCCAAAACCAUCUGGAGCUGAACCCGCUUAAGACCGUGGAGAUGACAGUGGAUUUCAGACACCUUCAAGUUCCUGGGAACCACAAUCUCUCGGGACGUGAAAUGGACCGGCCACAUAGACUCUGUCCGGAAGAAGGCCCAGCAGAGGCUGUACUUCCUGAGACAGCUCAAGAAGUUCAACCUGCCGCGAGAGCUUCUGAAGACCUUCUACACUGCCAUCAUCCAGUCUGUCCUCUGCACCUCCAUCACUGUCUGGUUUGCAUCGGCCUCCAAACAAGACAAGCACAGACUACAACGGACAAUCAGAACUGCAGAAAAGAUCAUUGGAAUCAACCUCCCAUCUAUCCAAGACUUGUACCUGUCCAGGACCAGGAAACAUGCAAGGAACAUCUCUACAGACCCUUCUCACGAGGUUGCAGUCUGUUUGAACUACUCCACUCCGGACGGCGUUAUAGAGCUCGAUACGCCAAAACCAGCAGACAGAGACAGCUUCUUCCCCCAGGCUGUUGCUCUGAUGAACUCACACCACUCAUAGAGUCUCAGUCAGUACUGUGCAAUAACAUCCUGCUCUUCACACCUUUUUGAAUUUGUCUACACUGUUUUUGCCAUUAUUCACAUGUCCUGAGUGUUGUUAGUCACCUAAAUGUUGAACAGAGGGUGUGUUUUUACCGAAGUCAAAUUCCUUGUUUGGCACGCUCAAACAUGGCGAAUAAAAAACUCUUGAAUCUU